rnacentral:rRNA from 1 species
GCAAUCAAUAAGCGGAGGAAAAGAAACCAACAGGGAUUGCUUUAGUAACGGCGAGUGAAGCGGCAAAAGCUCAAAUUUGAAAUCCGUCUUUAUGGCGGAGUUGUAAUUUGAAGAUAGCAAUUCUUGAAACGGUCCUGCUCAAGUUCCUUGGAAUAGGACAUCAUGGAGGGUGAGAAUCCCGUGAUGCGGGAGUUCCGUUUCUCUACAGAGUGCUAUCGACGAGUCGAGUUGUUUGGGAAUGCAGCUCCAAGUGGGUGGUAAAUUCCAUCUAAGGCUAAAUAUUGGCGAGAGACCGAUAGCGAACAAGUACUGUGAAGGAAAGAUGAAAAGCACUUUGAAAAGAGAGUGAAAUAGAACGUGAAAUUGUUGAAGUGGAAGGGUUUAAAGUUAGACAUGGUAGCUAGUGCUCCACGAUCCCUCGGGGUCGUGUACUCGCUAGUUGCUGGGCCAGCAUCAGUUUUGGCGGAAAUACAAAAGCAGAGGAAUGUGGCUUCCUUCGGGUAGUGUUAUAGCCUCUGCCAAUGUUUCCUGCCGGGACUGAGGACCGCGCAUUUUGCUAGGAUGUUGGCGUAAUGAUUUUAAACCACCCGUCUUGAAACACGGACCAAGGAGUCCAUUGCCUAUGCGAGUGUUUGGGUGAUAAACCCGUACGCGUAAUGAAAGUGAACGCAGGUUGGGGACCUCAUUUGAGGCGCACAAUCGACCGAUCCUGACGUUUUUCAGAUGGAUUUGAGUAGAAGCAUAGUUGAUGGGACCCGAAAGAUGGUGAACUAUGCCUGAAUAGGGUGAAGCCAGAGGAAACUCUGGUGGGAGGCUCGUAGCGGUUCUGACGUGCAAAUCGAUCGUCAAAUUUGGGUAUAGGGGCGAAAGACUAAUCGAACCAUCUAGUAGCUGGUUCUGCG